rnacentral:rRNA from 1 species
GACGAACGCUGGCGGCGUGCUUAACACAUGCAAGUCGAGCGGUAAGGCCCUUUCGGGGGUACACGAGCGGCGAACGGGUGAGUAACACGUGGGUGACCUGCCCUCAGCUCUGGGAUAAGCAUGGGAAACCGGGUCUAAUACUGGAUAUGACUCCAUGACGCAUGUUGUGGGGUGGAAAGCCUUGUGCGGCUGAGGAUGGGCCCGCGGCCUAUCAGCUUGUUGGUGGGGNGAUGGCCUACCAAGGCGACGACGGGUAGCCGGCCUGAGAGGGCGACCGGCCACACUGGGACUGAGACACGGCCCAGACUCCUACGGGAGGCAGCAGUGGGGAAUCUUGCGCAAUGGGCGAAAGCCUGACGCAGCGACGCCGCGUGAGGGAUGACGGCCU